rnacentral:rRNA from 1 species
UACAUAGGGUGCGAGCGUUAAUCGGAAUUACUGGGCGUAAAGCGUGCGUAGGCGGUUAUUUAAGUCGGAUGUGAAAGCCCCGGGCUCAACCUGGGAAUUGCAUUCGAGACUGAAUAGCUAGGGUACGGUAGAGGGAAGUGGAAUUUCCGGUGUAGCGGUGAAAUGCGUAGAUAUCUGAAGGAACAUCAGUGGCGAAAGCGACUUCCUGGGCCAGUACCGACGUUCAGGCACGAAAGCGUGGGGAGCAAACAGG